UUAUACCAUCCUGGGCAAAUUAAUGCCCAAUCUUUAUUUGAAAACCUCCAGCCAUGGAGCAUUGACAACUCUGGGAGGCAAAUUGUUCCACUGAUUAAUUGUCCUCAAUAUCAGGAAAUUUCUCCUUAAUUCUAGGUUGCUUCUCUCCUUGAUUAGUUUCCAUCCUUUGCUUCUUUUCCUGCCUUCUGGUGCUUUGGAAAAUAGGUUGACCCCUUCUUCUUUGUGGCAACCCCUCAUAUAUUGGAACACUGCUUUUAUGUUUCCUCUAGUCUAGUCCCCCUUUUCAUUAGACUAAACAUACCCAAUUCCUGCAACUGUUCCUUAUAUAUUUUAGCCUCCAACCCCCUAAUCACCUUUGUUGUUCUUCUCUGCACUAUUUUCAGAGUCUCAACAUCAUCUUUAUAUUGUGGUGACCACAACUGGAUGCAAUGUUCCAAGUGGGUCUUACUAAGGCAUUAUAAAGUCUUCAUGUGAUUUUGAUUCUAUCCCUCUGUUAAUGCAGCCUUAGAUUGCAUUAGCUUUUUUGGCAGCUGUAACAGACUAUAACAGAUGUAACAGACUGUGAAAAUCCUUAAUUGUAUGACUUGGGACAAGAUUAAAUGUAGAUGAAAUCAAAUUAAUUUUUAUUCUAGGGGAUUCACUGUUUUUUGGGGCCUGUUGCCUCAGUCCAGAAAUAAUUGUAUUUUAUACUUAAUCUGUAGGGUGUAUUCUUCCAUGUUCUUUCAUUGUUGAUUGAUCUUUCCAGCAAAACUGGUUUGGCUUGAGAAAAGCAACUGCUUUAUAAAGAGCAGUUCAACUGCUCUAUAUAAAUUGUGGGGAUUUGGUACAUGAGUGUGACAUCAUCAAAGGCUGCUCACAAGCCAAUCAGAAUAAACCACUGAUGACAAAUUCACACAAAUUUCAUUAAUAUGGCAGCAGGCUAGAUGCUGCUUCUCUUCAGCGGCAACUUCUCUGAAGUUUUAACAACUAGCCUAUGUGACAACAGAGAUCAAGGUGUCUUCUCCCAUUCUUGCCUGUAUCAGAAAAAACUUCUCUGAUGUACAUAAGAAUAAAGCCAUCAAGAAGAGUAAUCCAAGCAACAAUCUGGAAUGCAAAUAAGUGAUCAGAAAGGUCAUCCACUUUAGCUGGAGGACAAAGUCAACAUUACUGCACCAGUUUAAUCUGCUCCCACCAUGACAUCCAAAUCAAGGUCAAGCAUCAAUGCCAGAUGAUUUACUACUCAGAAGCCCAGAAGAAUGGACUUGAGGUGUCACUGCACACCACCUUUAACACCACCCUUUUCAGAUACCUCUUCCCAUUUGUCCCAUGGGAUCCACAAUUUAUCUCCUCAUGGCCUUAGUAGAGGAUUGCCCUGCAAGUAUGUGGUCCACUCUGUAAGAUCUCAUCAAAGGUUGCCUUGUCCCUGCAAUCAGAGCUGCAUGAGAUGUCUCCUAGAGAACCAGACCUUUUCCACCAAUGAUGAUAACAUAUGCCCACAUCUCAUUAACAAAAACUCUCCAGUCUGCUGCCAAGAAAACCAAAACACUGUCAGUCUUGAAUCAUGUGUCCAUUCUCACCCUUUGUGGCUCUCAGCUCAAAUAGAAGCGAGUAGGAUACAGCCUUUGCUAGGUAGCUGGGCUGUGCUUUCCAAAGCUCCUGUGCAAGAGGCAAUUGAUCUAUCUGAGCACCAAGCGAUGCCUGAGAACUGCAUUGUUUACUCCCUUAACGCAAAGGAUUUAGACUCUACAGGGCAAAGUAGACACUGUAUUCCUUCUGUACCAAAACAUUAUGCUAUCUAUUCAUCACCCAUUUCUUCCAGUUACCAUUUGCAAAAUGAAAUUGGUCACCGAUUCUCUAACAACAUACCACCCAUGCUUGUUGCUCUGUAUCCCAGGGAACGGGGUUUGCCACCUUAUGUAGAACAACUAGACCAAAUUGAUCGAACUCCCACACCUUCUCUGGCAGAGAGUUAUCUGGCCUUCUCUGGCUAAUAGACCAUAUGCUAAGAAUACUGAAAUUUUUGCUUGAGCUAAAAAGUCUGCAAAUUCAUCCAAUCACUUGCUUAGUUUCAUUUCACACUUUGCUCCUCGCUAUGGAAGCUUGGCUUUGUUCAUCCUGCUGCUUUGGACUGGCUGAUCUGAGUGCUUAAGCAUCAUGGCGGAGAUGGAUUUGAACAACAAGAGGAGUGCUAUGGCAUACAAUGCUGCUUCUUGAAUUAAGGUUGGUGUGUAGGGUGGGUGCAAAAGUU